AGAGUUUGAUCCUGGCUCAGAUUGAACGCUGGCGGAAUGCUUUACACAUGCAAGUCGAACGGCAGCACGGGGGCAACCCUGGUGGCGAGUGGCGAACGGGUGAGUAAUACAUCGGAACGUGCCCAGUCGUGGGGGAUAACGUAGCGAAAGCUACGCUAAUACCGCAUACGAACUCUGGUUGAAAGCGGGGGAUCGCAAGACCUCGCGCGAUUGGAGCGGCCGAUGGCAGAUUAGGUAGUUGGUGGGGUAAAGGCCUACCAAGCCGACGAUCUGUAGCUGGUCUGAGAGGACGACCAGCCACACUGGGACUGAGACACGGCCCAGACUCCUACGGGAGGCAGCAGUGGGGAAUUUUGGACAAUGGGCGCAAGCCUGAUCCAGCCAUUCCGCGUGCAGGAUGAAGGCCCUCGGGUUGUAAACUGCUUUUGUACGGAACGAAAAAGCCUGGGCUAAUACCCCGGGUCCAUGACGGUACCGUAAGAAUAAGCACCGGCUAACUACGUGCCAGCAGCCGCGGUAAUACGUAGGGUGCAAGCGUUAAUCGGAAUUACUGGGCGUAAAGCGUGCGCAGGCGGUGAUGUAAGACAGGUGUGAAAUCCCCGGGCUUAACCUGGGAACUGCAUUUGUGACUGCAUCGCUGGAGUGCGGCAGAGGGGGAUGGAAUUCCGCGUGUAGCAGUGAAAUGCGUAGAUAUGCGGAGGAACACCGAUGGCGAAGGCAAUCCCCUGGGCCUGCACUGACGCUCAUGCACGAAAGCGUGGGGAGCAAACAGGAUUAGAUACCCUGGUAGUCCACGCCCUAAACGAUGUCAACUGGUUGUUGGGUCUUCACUGACUCAGUAACGAAGCUAACGCGUGAAGUUGACCGCCU
rnacentral:rRNA from 1 species